AGCAGUGAAGAGGACCCACCCCCAAUAUGACGUCAGUAGACGCCGCUAAACGUACUGACGUAUGACGCUAUCGCGCAUGCGCGGCGAUCAAUCCGGAAGUAAACAAGCAGCAGCGUGAAGCGUGGCCGCGCAGGUCGAAGGUUGUCUCCCAGAGGAGGUUGGAUGUCUUCUUAUCUGUUUCUUCUGAAGACUCUAGAAGCCCCAGAAAGAAGAUGAAGAGGAACUAUGAGAACCUGGAAGAACAUCCAGCUGUCAGCAUGCGAGACGCACCUGAUGGCAGUAAGAAGAAGAAGAAGAAG